rnacentral:sRNA from 1 species
UAAAAAUAAUAAGACAUGGCGUUUUAGUGUCCGUGUCCACACUGCGCUUAUCAGACCCGCCGUGUACCUGCAUGACUUGGUGGGGUCGCUUUAUCCAGAGGCCAAGUUACAUCAGUUGAACUGCUAACUGCCAGGCUAUUUUCUCACGCCGCCCUAUCACAGUUACAAGGGAGGGGUUAUAUCUUCAGUGAGCAGAACCGGAGAGUUGGGGCUUCACUGAGCAUGGACUGUACUGUACAUUCUCAUCUUUUAUUUUUUCUUUAUCUUAUUUUUCGCCAAAUAAUUUCGAGAUAUUAACUGAAUCUAGAUCCUCCCAUGCGAGCUGAUCUUUCAGCUCCCCAUUUUUUAAGUUCCGCUCUCGCUUCCCCCUUGCUGCGUUUGCAAUAUUAUCUGCUAUCUUACUCCUACCUAUCUUGAAUAUAACAUCUGUCUCAGGUAUCAGAGGAAGGAAGGCCGUUCCGGCUUCAUACCAGCUUGCAUGGGCAAAACAUCAUUGACUUGGGCUCUUGUUCAACUUCAAUUCUACUCUUGAUGUGCGGUUCGCUUAACCCAAGUUUCAUGGAAGAAAAAUAGAAAAGAAUUACAUACAUAUCCCCUCUUCGUGCAAGCCAGAGGAGUCACCAAAAAAAAAAAAAAAAAAAAAAAAAAAAAAAAAAACCCCAAAAUGGAGAAAUCUUCGCCUAGAAAGUUUACCAGGACCCUUCUCCAUCAAGGGGGCGAUGAUGCUCCGGUUCUGGAGCACAAGGAUUUCGGAAAUUUGACCAUAUCAAGGCAUCCUCUGGGCACCAUGGGUGCAUGUACAGUGUAGCGACAAAUUAUCCUACCGCCAUCCUAG